CUCUCCACUGUGACCCAUCUAUCUUGGGUGGCCCUACACAGUAUGGCUCAUACCUUCAUUGAAUUACUCAAGCCCCUUCAUCAUGAUAAGGCUGUGAUCCAUGAAGAAUGAGAUGUUUAGAUAGCAUCACCAACGCAAUGGACAUGAAUUUGAGCAAAGUGCUGGAGACAGUGAAGGACAAGAAAGCUUGGCAUGCUGCAAUCCAUGGGGUUGCAAAGAAUUGGGCGUGACAUAACAACUGAACAAUAGCAAUCUACAAUGAAGCUCAUUUCAUUGGGAUUGCUAAAAAAUGAUUAGAUGGAUCAAAGACUUUUUCCAAAACAUACUUACAGUAUUUGGGAAAAGAGAAAGUGGGGGAAAAAAGUAACAUCAUAAAAUAUUAUAGUAAUCUAAUUAGAAGUAAUGAUAAUAGUAACAAUUCAGUAAAUGCUUGCUAGAGGCUGAGUUCAAGAACUUUAUAAAUGUUUACUUAUUCAAUAGUAACAAAAGUUCCAUGAGAAAAUUAUGAUUACUGUCUCCAUUUUAUAAGAAAACCCAGGUGUAGUUUUCAUGUGUCUGCUUGCUGUCUCCAGGUUAGUCAUAGAGCUGGGCAGGGGUCAGAAGGCUGGCUCCAGAGUUUAUGUUCCUAACAGUGUAAGUUUGUACUGUUUAUUAUAUAUGGACAAGUGUAUUUUAUGUAAUUUAUAUAAUAUGAAUUGAUUAAAGACCAUUUUCUAUGGGGAUUCAUGCCACUGGGUAAGUACAGGGAUAGAUGUAGCCUGAUAUAUUCUUGACAGUAGACCAUCUACUUCAGGUAUGCACCUGGUUCAACUAUAUCUGUUGGCCUGAAGUUAUAAUGAAGUUUUUGACUGAAUAUUGAGAUUAGGGAGUCUGCUCUAAUAGGAAUUUAAAACAAUGAAAUAAACAGGAUCAAGUAGAAGGGAUAUGUUUUGAGCAUGAUGAGAAUAAAAUCCUCAACUUCUGGAGGGUGGGCAGAAGAGGGACCACUAGUAGUGAAGAGAAGAAAGAGUGAGAGGCAUCAGGAGAACAGGGAGAGAAGGCAGGGAAGACUGAGAGAUGGAGUUCCGCGGAUGGAAGCAUCCAUGUCAGUUGCAGCGCUUUGUUUCGUUCACUGCAUGUGUUGGUACCACUUGAUAAGCUGA
rnacentral:lncRNA from 1 species